GAUGAACGCUGGCGGCGUGCCUAAUACAUGCAAGUCGAGCGAACAGACGAGGAGCUUGCUCCUCUGACGUUAGCGGCGGACGGGUGAGUAACACGUGGAUAACCUACCUAUAAGACUGGGAUAACUUCGGGAAACCGGAGCUAAUACCGGAUAAUAUAUUGAACCGCAUGGUUCAAUAGUGAAAGACGGUUUUGCUGUCACUUAUAGAUGGAUCCGCGCCGCAUUAGCUAGUUGGUAAGGUAACGGCUUACCAAGGCAACGAUGCGUAGCCGACCUGAGAGGGUGAUCGGCCACACUGGAACUGAGACACGGUCCAGACUCCUACGGGAGGCAGCAGUAGGGAAUCUUCCGCAAGGGGCGAAAGCUUGACGGAGCAACGCCGCGUGAGUGAUGAAGGUUUUCGGAUCGUAAAACUCUGUUAUUAGGGAAGAACAAAUGUGUAAGUAACUAUGCACGUCUUGACGGUACCUAAUCAGAAAGCCACGGCUAACUACGUG
rnacentral:rRNA from 1 species